rnacentral:lncRNA from 1 species
GUUGGCCAGGCUGGUCUUGAACUCAUGGCCUCAAGUUACCCAUCCACCUUGGCCUCCCAAGUGUUCUAGAAUUACAGGCAUGAGCCACUGCAUCCAGCCUUAUCUUUAAUUUUUUAAAUCAUGUUUAUCAGUUCUCUGGAGGAAACAGUGUUGGAAUAAAUAAUAAAUUUGUAAACCCAGAGUAGAAUAUAAUCUUGACUUCAUUGACAAUAAUUGAAAUUUAAAACAACAAAGUACAACUCAAAAACCCAAGAGGUGUGGGGAGAGACACAAACUGAAGGAAACACAAUCAAAAAAGAAAAGCACAUGACAUAACUCACUUAAGUUUUUGAACAGAUUAUUGUAACAUACAGAAAGUUGUCAGCAAGUUUAUAUACCUGAUCUGAUAUCUUGUCUCAGUGUCAUGAGAAUGCUAAGAAGUAACACAGGGUAACCCUUUUAAAAGACUUUAUCGUUUUAGUGGCAUGAUGCAUCAUUUUUUUUGCAUUUAAUUCAGAAACUGGAAGAAUAUUCUCUGAGUUAAAUUUGAGGUGGAUGCCACUGUGCAGUUUCACUAAAAUACCCAGACAGUUUGAUAUCAUGUGCACAAUCUGUUAGCUCAGGAAGAACGGGAGAAAGAUAUGGUCCUUGUGUAUGUGUGGAAAGUCAUCAUAACUUCAUUCAGUUUCUGUCUUCUUCCAGUCAGGGAUCUACUAGCUUGACUAUUCUUCACUUGUUCCCUUUCAUUUACAGGUCACCCAACAAGACAAACAACACAGAUCCGCUUGCCAUUUUCCGUAACAAAGGCAGGGGCUAAACUUAUCUUAGCUGUUGCCCACAAUUUAUGAAGAGAUAAUCCGGUUCAUAGGAAAUGAG